UGAGGAACCUAUCCCAGUCUCUGGAAUAACAGGUGGAAACACCUGCUAAUACCGGAUGCCGCUGGACCAUCGCAUGGUGGACCAACGAAAGAUUUAUCGGAUUGGGAGGGCCUCGCGGCCUAUCAGCUUGUUGGUGAGGUAACGGCUCACCAAGGCGUCGACGGGUAGCUGGUCUGAGAGGAUGAUCAGCCACACGUGGGACUGAGACACGGCCCAGACCUGUACGGGU
rnacentral:rRNA from 1 species